CCUUUUGUUGGUUUCUCACCAACCAGAGCUUUGAGUUUCAUCUAGCUUUGAGCUCCUCUUCUCCAUCUUUUCUGUUUGAUUUCAUCAUUAAAGAUUUAUUUUGCCGAUAAAAAAAAAAAUUUUAAAAAUGCGUCAAAUUUUGGGAUAAAAUGAUAUUUCGUCGGGCAAUUCGCAUAUGCAUCUGUUUUGUUAGUUAAUUUUGCCAUGGAAGAGAGCAAAGCGACAACAACCAAAGACAACAACAUUCCAUUGAUAGACCUGUCUCUGCUAAACUCUCCAAACAACUUUUCUUCAGCCGACUCCAUUGCAAGCCUAGCAGCCGAGAUAACCGAAGCCUGUGAGACCUGGGGUUGCUUCCAAGUCAUCAACCACGGCGUGCCGGUCGAGCAGAGCCGAGCAAUCGAGUCGGCGUCGAGGCAGUUCUUUGAUCAGCCGAAAGAAGAGAAGAAGAAAGUGUGGAGGUACGAGAGGAAUCCAUUGGGGUACCAUGAUUCGGAGAUUACGAUGAAUGUGAGGGACUGGAAAGAGGUGUUUGAUUUCACAGUCCAAAAUCCCACUCUCUUUCCAGCUUCCCCUGAUCCCCAUGACUUGGAACUGAGGGAGUUGGUUAAUCAGUGGCCCCAAUUUCCUCCUCAAUUUAGGGAGGUAUGUGAGGAAUAUGCUAAAGAAAUCGAAAAGCUGGGUUACCAAUUGUUGGAACUCUUGUCUCUAAGCUUAGGAUUGCCAAGACGAAGGUUGAAUCACUUCUUCAAAGACCAAACCAGCAUUGUUAGGUUCAACCACUACCCACCUUGCCCUAACCACCCUGGUCAAGUUCUUGGUGUUGGCCAGCACACUGAUUCCGGAGCCUUAUCCAUCUUGGCUCAAGAUGAUGUUGGAGGAUUGCAAGUGAAGCGAAAAUGGGAUGGAAAGUGGGUUCCUGUCAAACCCAACCCUCAUGCCUAUUUAGUUAUCAUUUGCGACAUUUUUCAGGUUUGGAGCAAUGACAAGUACGAGAGUGUGGUGCACAGGGCAACGGUGAACUCUGAAAAGGAAAGGAUUUCGAUUGUGUUCUUCUCCUACCCAGCACAUUACACCAUGGUUGAGCCUCUGGAGGAGCUAAUAAACGAUCGAAACCCUCCCAAAUACAGACCAUACAACUGGGGAAAGUUUUCUGCUGCCCGAAGGCGUAGUAAUUUCACAAAGAACAAUGUUGGAAGGAUCCAAAUCGAUCAUUUUAAGUUAUGAUCAAAUACAACCCAAUAAAUGGAGUGGAAGACUCCAGUGUUGGAGUAGAUGAAAUAGAGAAGCUCCAAUAAGAAUAGCAUACUUACCUGAAAGUUCAGAUGGUGUGACCAACUCUGAGGUUAAAUCAAUUGAUGGGUGUGCUAAUCCUUACUUGGUCAUGGCUUCUAUUACUGCUGCUGGAAUUGAUGGCCUUCGAAGAAAUCUUAUUCUGCCUGAACCCUGGGCAUCCAAUGUUGAUCUUGAAGAAAGUUAUAUGGUGCUUGUUUGUGCUGUUCAUGCUAGUAGAAAAUGUUCUACCACAGAGUGAUGCAGAAAUGUUAUUUAAUUAUGAAACAGAGAACCUUGGUACAGAGCUUCAAAGA